rnacentral:lncRNA from 1 species
UGGAACCCUGAUGUGGUGUUUUCCCCUCCGAAAUUGAUAACACGAAGAAGACUUGUGUCCCUGGUCUUUGUCGUGCUGUGUUUGGAUUCCUGUCUCCUUCCUUUGAGAGGGAGAAUCGAUUUUCCCUCCCAAAGCUGCUCCUUCCAGCUCUUGUCUCUGGCCAUUGUGCCAGCUUGCUUUGUGGUCGCACCCUGAGGGUCCUGUGCCCAAGAGCUGUUGACUUAGUUUCCUUUGUUGCCCUUGAGGGACCUGAUGUGGUGGGACGCAACCCUCUCCUAGGGCCUUGACCCUGGAGACCAAGUUUGUCUGGUGAGUGUGAGGUGGUGGGUGAGAAGGUGCUGUCUCCCUCUGGAUGUUCAGGAUUUCUGGCCUCCCUGUCCUGCUGUGUCCUCACGGUGUGUCCUUGGGGAAUGGGCGUUCCCAACGUCGAAUGCGCAGAACAGGGAACCGAGGCACAGAGACAUCUAUGUCCCCUUCCCCGGCACGUGUUUCUUCUGCAGGGGAUGUGAGGAGUUCCCUAGUGUCCUGGAGGUUAAGGGUCCAGUCUUUGAUCCCUCCUGUGGUGCAGAUUCAAGCCCUGGACUGGGAACUUCUGCAUGCCCUGGGAGUGGCGAAAAGCAAUCAAUGACCAUUGUGCAUGGUCAUUAUCCAGGUUGUCUCAGCUGCCAAGAGGCAUUUUCACACAAAACCAGUGUGGGGAUGUAACGGUUUGAAGUGCACGCCAAAGAGCAAGAUCUUUCUAAGUAAAACUUGGAUGCUGAAGGCUCUGUUGGGCAGCUGGGGAUUAUGGGCAUUGAGGGCUUGGCCUGGGAGUCAACUGUUAGUCAUUUCCCUGUGGUCUUCUGCAAUCAGUAUAUCACUCGUUCUCUCUGUUGUCAUGUAUUUUCCAGAAUCUUGCUUUGGGAGGAAAGGAUCUUGCUGCAGGAGUCUGAGGAUAUGUUUGUCCUCUGUGAGCUUGGCUAGAAUAAUCCCAUGGUGGCCACACAACAGAGUGCACCCUGCCACUGAGCCAGACGAAGAUACUGUGGAACCUGACUCAGUACAUUCAGCAACCCCCGACGAUGUUGUGGAGGCCGGUGGGAGUGAGAAGACCAAGGAGGAGGCCCUGGCUGGGGAAACUGAGGAGGAGAUGGGGCUGGGGACUGUGAAGGCGGAGGAGGAGGAGGAAAAGGAGGAAGCUGCAGCCAUAGACAAGGCGGAGGAGGAGGCGGGCCCAGCCCAUGAAAAUGACAAGGAGGAGUCGCCAGCCAGCGACCGGGCUGAGCACGAAGACAAGCCUGCCCCCAAGGUAAGCUCACCUUUCUUGAUGUGAGAUUUGAAAAGUUGCCUUUUUUCUUUUUGAUAUCCCUAUCUCAGAAAUGGAAAUCUGAGAAAGUCCGUUAUAGAGGGUAUAUGCAGAUUCCUCUGCGGAGGAAUGUUGAGUCAAAGUUUGGUACCAACCAAUAACUCCUUCCAAGGGGCACUGGCCAAAGUGACCGCAUCAGUUCCCAAGUGUACAGCAGGGAGCAUUUUUCUUUGAAGAAGCCUGAAUGUUGUUUUGUUUUGUUUGUCUUUUUGCCUUUUCUAGGGCCACUCCCGUGGCAUAUGGAGUUUCCCAGGCCAGGGGUCUCAUCGGUGCUGUAGACACCGGCCUACGCCAGAGACGCAGCAGCGUGGGAUCCGAGCCAUGUCGGCAGCCUACACCACAGCUCAUGGCAAUGCCGGAUCCUUAACCUACUGAGCAAGGCCAGGGAUGCAAACCGCAACCGCAUGGUUCCUGGUGGGAUUGCCACGACGGG